CACUGUAGAAAUAUAUAUAUAUAUAUAUAUAUAUCUUUGUGUAUAUAUAUUUUUCUCUUUUCCUAUAGGAAGGAGGCAAGAAGCCAAGUGGCAGGAUAUAUGCUGACAAAGCUGAAAAGAUGACAAUCUCACAGAAGAAAAUUGGAGACAGCAGGAGCAUCUUGUCUCCCUCCAGCAGAACAGUGAGCCAGAAUGAAAUGUCUGCUUCCUGUUGGAUCUUGGAGUCACAAUGUGAAAAUGUGGAUGGUUUGGGUCCAGCAGAAUUUUUGAAAAUGAACAUGGAAGUGGGUAAAAGCGUGGUUUGGAUACCAUGGGCAGUAAGAAGGACUCUCAUCGUUUCUUCCAAAAGCCCCUGUCAAGUCUCUACUCUGCUAUGUGUUUGCCAAAAUUUACCUUCAGCUCAAAACUACUCUGAACUCAGUGGGUAUCUGUCACAGUCAUCUUAAGUAUCCAUCUCCUAUCUAAAAGACUAAAGCUCAGAAAGGCAAGAGAGAAACCAAUAUCAUGACAACGGAUGUGCAAGUGAAAGGACGUCUAUAUGAAUUGUAUAUGGAGGCACAAGAUCUUUUUAUAAGUAAGUAAGUGAAGCAUAUGGAGCUGAGUUCAGACUUAAAAGCCCACUCAUUCUACUUGGAAGCAAAAAUGGGUAAAAAUACCAUUUCACUGCUGGUCAUUUGAGGGCUUUUGUCUUACGAUCAAUUACUGCCAUAGGCACCUCCCUGUCUUUAAUGCUUUGCUCCU
rnacentral:lncRNA from 1 species